UGACACUUGUCGAGAAGCACUAAGGAAGAAGGUUCCAAAUUUCGCCUAUAAAUACAAGAGGAUCAACUUCAUUUUGUGGUUGUUCUCUCAUUUGCACUCAAACCACUUAAGCCUCUUCGAGAGAAAGAAAGAAACGAAAAGAGAGAGUUGUCAAGGAAGAUCGAGAGAAGGAUCGAGAGCGAUCGAGAGGGAGAUCAAGAGUGUGCGCCUAGAAAAGACCAAGAAAGGUCGACGGCUGUGUCGAAGAGAGAUUGAGGAGAUAAGCAGUUGCGGAACAAAGCGAGAAGCUGUUUGACGUGAAGUAGGAGCGGAUUGUCUGGUCGAGUGGUGCUGUGAAGUCCGAGUAUCAUCGACGGUUGCGCAAGAGGGAAGCUUAAGUGAGUCUAGAGCCGGAGCGAACGCUAGGGUGCCGGAUAGGAUUUUCUUGUGUUCCUUGUAAAACCCUAUAUUUUUAUAAAUGG